GACGAACGCUGCCGGCGUGCUUAACACAUGCAAGUCGAAGAUAGUGGCGAACGGGUGAUUAAUACGUGGGUAACCUGCCCUCCUUUUUGGGAUAAGCCUUGGAACCGGGGUCUAAUACCGAAUAAUGGGGGAUGUGCUCGCGGCCUAUCAGUUUGUUGGUGGGGUGGUGGCCUACCAAGGCGGUGACGGGUAGCCGGCCUGAGAGGGUGACCGGCCACAGUGGGACUGAGAUCCGGCCCAGACGCCUACGGGAGGCAGCAGUGGGGGAUAUUGCACAAUGGGCGAAAGCCUGAUGCAGCAACGCCGCGUGAGUGAUGACGGCCUUCGGGUUGUAAAGCUCUGUUAAUCGGGACAGAGUACCGGAAUAGAAAGCCACGGCUAACUACGUGCCAGCAGCCGCGGUAAUUC
rnacentral:rRNA from 1 species